UGAUCCUGGCUCAGGAUGAACGCUGGCGGCGUGCUUAACACAUGCAAGUCGAACGAAGCACUUUAUUUGAUUUCCUUCGGGACUGAUUAUUUUGUGACUGAGUGGCGGACGGGUGAGUAACGCGUGGGUAACCUGCCUUGUACAGGGGGAUAACAGUUGGAAACGGCUGCUAAUACCGCAUAAGCGCACGGCAUCGCAUGAUGCAGUGUGAAAAACUCCGGUGGUAUAAGAUGGACCCGCGUUGGAUUAGCUAGUUGGUGAGGUAACGGCCCACCAAGGCGACGAUCCAUAGCCGACCUGAGAGGGUGACCGGCCACAUUGGGACUGAGACACGGCCCAAACUCCUACGGGAGGCAGCAGUGGGGAAUAUUGCACAAUGGGCGAAACCCUGAUGCAGCGACGCCGCGUGAAGGAAGAAGUAUCUCGGUAUGUAAACUUCUAUCAGCAGGGAAGAUAGUGACGGUACCUGACUAAGAAGCCCCGGCUAACUACGUGCCAGCAGCCGCGGUAAUACGUAGGGGGCAAGCGUUAUCCGGAUUUACUGGGUGUAAAGGGAGCGUAGACGGUGUGGCAAGUCUGAUGUGAAAGGCAUGGGCUCAACCUGUGGACUGCAUUGGAAACUGUCAUACUUGAGUGCCGGAGGGGUAAGCGGAAUUCCUAGUGUAGCGGUGAAAUGCGUAGAUAUUAGGAGGAACACCAGUGGCGAAGGCGGCUUACUGGACGGUAACUGACGUUGAGGCUCGAAAGCGUGGGGAGCAAACAGGAUUAGAUACCCUGGUAGUCCACGCCGUAAACGAUGAA
rnacentral:rRNA from 1 species